GGGUGGUAAUGCCGGUCAGUUGAUCGCAUGGUCUUCUGGGAAAGCUUUCGCGGUAUGGGAUGGGGUCGCGUCCUAUCAGCUUGACGGCGGGGUAACGGCCCACCGUGGCUUCGACGGGUAGCCGGCCUGAGAGGGCGACCGGCCACAUUGGGACUGAGAUACGGCCCAGACUCCUACGGGAGGCAGCAGUGGGGAAUAUUGCACAAUGGGCGCAAGCCUGAUGCAGCGACGCCGCGUGAGGGAUGGAGGCCUUCGGGUUGUAAACCUCUUUUAUCGGGGAGCAAGCGUGAGUGAGUUUACCCGUUGAAUAAGCACCGGCUAACUACGUGCCAGCAGCCGCGGUAAU
rnacentral:rRNA from 1 species